GCUGGAGUGGUGGAACAGGCAGACACCCGGGACUUAAAAUCCCGUGCUUCGCAAGAGGCGUGCCGGUUCAAGUCCGGCCUCCAGCACCA
rnacentral:tRNA from 1 species